UGAAUUCAUGCCCUGGUUAGCUGAAACAAAACAGUACAGAACACUCUGAUUCAAAGAUUUUUGGAGGAAGACACCUAGACUUCUUGAGGUCAUGGUUCAACAGAUAAACUCUGCAGAUGGGACUCCCAUCAGAAUCCAAAUGGUGUGUUAAAAAGUGAUGGAGAAAAAACAGCACUUGCCAGUUUUCCAGAAAACAAGAUGCCCUGGAGUAUGCUCUUCCUCCCUGGCUCCUUCCCUGUACCCAUCACAGCUCCUAGGCACCAUCUGUGGACUUCUACAGAGCUCACGAUCUAAAGCAAGCAGCAUGCCAAAGGCUGGUUAUUCAUUGCUGAAGUGAGUGUGAGGAAGGGAAUAGGACAGCAAGAGAGAACUGCUCACGGAGAGAGGCAGCAGAGAAGCAAAGAGUAACACAACUGGGAAGAGAGCGGAGGCUCUCUCUGCUGACAGGACUUUGCAGGGGCUGAGAGGAGACACAUUGCAACAGGCUGGCUGGGGUCACAGCGGUGCUGGGAGAUGGAGGGGUGCAAACGUGCAAACACAUACGCUCUCCAAUGACUUCAGUCUGUGCAAAGGAGCAUGUGCUGCUUCACAACGGGCUGGGACUGCUCUAGGCUCUGGGAAGACCAAAGGAAGGUUUAGCUACACAGGAGGGAUCCUCCAGCAUCUCUGCACAGAACAGAAGGAAGGUAGUCUCUGGGUGACAGCAGGAAGCAGGGAGGAAGGGAUUCCUGAACAUCAGUUUCCCCUUUGACACUGAUUUCCAAUGAAGCAUUUUGUCUUGUAAGUCUGUUUCUCCCUCUGAUUUUGUCUUCCCUUUUAGAAAAUUGUGCAAAUAAAGCUGAGCUGCCUCAUAGCUGGUGGAUGUCUGUACUACGCUAAACAGCUC